UGUAGCCUUCACAGUUGAAAAUGUUCUGUCAUUCAGACACAUUCAGGUGAAGCUCAUUUACAAUGAUAAUGAGGUGCAGCUUUACGUACAACUAAGGACAGACAAUUUUAGAACUGCUUGGCAUUUUAAGGCUUGUUGACCAGGGUAAUUCACUAGUGUAAAAUACAUGAGUUUAUGAACCUCCAUCCCUCUGUGAAAAGGGUGGUAGUAAUGGAGAGCAUUUGAUUUCUGAUGAUAGACCUGAAGAGAGCUGGUUGGGAAGAGCACAGUGUGGAGCAGGCACUAGAACAAGGAGAACCGGAGAAGGGAAUGAAGCAGAAUGAGCAGAAACCGAGAGCAAAGAGGAGUAGAAAUGAGCACAGAAGCGAGUCCGUUCCUGUGUGUCCAGCUGCUGCACUGCAGGACUUCUUUGGAGGAUAAUGGCAUUGCUGAAGUAUUCCGGUCUGGUUUUUAAGCUGAUCAUAGCACAGAAUCUACCAUUUUAAAGGUUCUGAAUGACCUUUUAUUAAUUGCUGAUUCUCGUCAUUCUGCUAUUCUUGUGCUUUUAAACCUUACUGCUGCUUUUGGUACAGCUGGCCAUGAUAUUCUUAUGUUCAGUCUUGAGCAGUAUGUUGGUACUGGGUACUGCUCUUGCAUGGUUUAAAUCCUAUCUGACAGGCAGAGUUCCUCAGUCAGACUUGGGUUCUGCUGUUUCACCUUGUCUCCACUUACCUGUGGAGUCCCCUAAUGGUCAAUUCUUGGUCCCAUUCUCUUAUUAUAAUUACAACUCCUACAGUCAAUUUUUUUAAACAACAUGGCAACUCUUUCCACUGCUACGCCAAUGAUGCACAAAUCAUUCAACCCCCUAAGUCCUUGAUAGAUGGUGUGGACAACAUUAAAACCUAUAUGUUGCUUGAUUUUCUUGAUUUUAAUGAAAGUAAAGAAGAGAUUGUGAUGUUUGGGACCUUUGACCUCCUGGGGGCCCUGGGUGCACAUGUAUCUUGCAACAAGUCCUUUGCUAGCAACUUGGCUGUGAUAUUUGACAGUGAGUUUAAAUUUCAUAUACAAAUUAAUUCUGUUGUCAAGGCCAGCUUCCUCCAGCUGUGAGUUCUGGCUAAUGCCAAGCCUCUUCUCUCAUUUACUGAUUCUGAGAAGGUAAUCCAUGCUUUAAUUUCCUUUCACUUGGACUAUUGUAACUCGCUUUUCAUUGGUGUUAGACAGCAUAGACUCUCUCGCCUUCACCUUGUCCAGAAGGCUGCAGUUCAGCUCCUGACAGGCAAAUGCAUACAUGACCAUAUAACACCGACACUAGUCU